UCGAUAUAUGGUAUAAAGCUAAAUGAACUAAAUCAACUAUAUUAGGUAAUACCCUCAUAAACCUUAUUAGAUUAACUUAGAUUUAUGUUGCGAUGAUGUCUAAAUAUGUCCAACUGUGGAGCACAAACAUAAAAAAAUCGGGUGGCGUUGAUUUAUGUUUGGGUGGAGGUUGACAGAGCCCCCAUACCUUCUCUUUCCAGGCAUCACUAAUUUACUAUGUCCAUUAAAAUCUUAACGAUGUGAUACACUAAUUUUUUAUCCGCGUGAUCACACCGCUGCCGAAUGGUCUCUCGACGUCACUACAGCAUGCAUCAGUCCAAUCUUGGAGGCCCGUCCAUUCGCACGUGUCUCGCGUCUCCGUAUAUGUAAACCGGUUCUAGCAGUCGAAGAGCAACCAUGACUGGUGGAUUAAUAUUAAUAUGGGACUUCUCGGUUUAGAUGGAAGAUUUACCCGAUGGAACUGUUCUUGAACUUCGAUAAGGAUUCCUUGUUGAAGGUGGACGAUCAUGUGGCUCAAUCCAAUCGCAAUUGUUUGUAUCGUACCGGUUAUCGCGGAGUUCGUUGGUGUGAUAGCAGCCGAUGAAGUUAAAACGGGCGAAGAAGUAUCCAUUGAGAAGUUUGUCAACAGGCAUAAUGGAGAUCAUUAUUUGUUUUCAUAUUCAUUGAGCGAUGGCCAGUUUCGAUACGAGCGAGGACGUUUUAAGACUUUCCUGGAUGAAAGCAAAGUGCCAGUGUGGUUUGUUACAGGAAAAUUCGGGUACAAGUUACGAGAUGGAAAGCUGAUCAGCUUUAAAUAUAUUGCUGAUGAAAAUGGUUACAGACAACAUAAAUUGAAUGAAGAUGAAGAUAUCGAAGAUGUCGGAACGCUUGGCAACAGGAUAGAUCCAAAAACUUUAGCAUCAUUAGUUGGAUAGCAGUUAUGUAAAUAAAUAGUUAAUUAUAGAAAUAUCAAACAUUGGUUAUCUAUUCAUCACCAUUCACCAGCCUUUACAUUUGUCCUUGAGUUUCACAAAAAAAUCUGAACAAUGUCAAAUUAUAUGCUUUUUUUGGGAUCAUAUCUCAGUUGGUAUGCUAAUUCGUAAAAAAGUAAGGGCCCAAGUGUGUUAUGUCACGAAAGAGUCAUGGCAGCGUAGGUUUUUGUUGCACAGAAG